UACAGAGGGUGCAAGCGUUAAUCGGAUUUACUGGGCGUAAAGCGUGCGUAGGCGGUUCAUUAAGUCGGUUGUGAAAUCCCUGGGCUUAACCUGGGAACUGCAGUCGAUACUGGUGGACUAGAGUACGGUAGAGGGUGGCGGAACUCCGGGUGUAGCGGUGAAAUGCGUAGAUAUCCGGAAGAACACCGAUGACGAAGGCAACCACCUGGGCCUGUACUGACGCUGAGGUACGAAAGCGUGGGGAGCAAACAGG
rnacentral:rRNA from 1 species